UACAGGGGGUGCAAACGUUGCUCGGAAUCAUUGGGCGUAAAGCGCACGUAGGCGGUUCGUUAUGUCGGAUGUGAAAGCCCUUGGCUUAACCGAGGAAGUGCAUCCGAAACUGGCGAGCUAGAGUACUAAAGAGGAUCGCGGAAUUCCCGGUGUAGAGGUGAAAUUCGUAGAUAUCGGGAGGAACACCGGUGGCGAAGGCGGCGAUCUGGGUAGACACUGACGCUGAGGUGCGAAAGCAUGGGGAGCGAACAGG
rnacentral:rRNA from 1 species